GGCGACGAGUGGCGAACGGGUGAGUAAUAUAUCGGAACGUGCCCAGUUGUGGGGGAUAACUGCUCGAAAGAGCAGCUAAUACCGCAUACGACCUGAGGGUGAAAGCGGGGGAUCGCAAGACCUCGCGCAAUUGGAGCGGCCGAUAUCAGAUUAGGUAGUUGGUGGGGUAAAGGCCUACCAAGCCUACGAUCUGUAGCUGGUCUGAGAGGACGACCAGCCACACUGGGACUGAGACACGGCCCAGACUCCUACGGGAGGCAGCAGUGGGGAAUUUUGGACAAUGGGGGCAACCCUGAUCCAGCCAUGCCGCGUGCGGGAAGAAGGCCUUCGGGUUGUAAACCGCUUUUGUCAGGGAAGAAAAGACUCCUACUAAUACUGGGGGUUCAUGACGGUACCUGAAGAAUAAGCACCGGCUAACUACGUGCCAGCAGCCGCGGUAAUACGUAGGGUGCAAGCGUUAAUCGGAAUUACUGGGCGUAAAGCGUGCGCAGGCGGUUAUGCAAGACAGAUGUGAAAUCCCCGGGCUCAACCUGGGAACUGCAUUUGUGACUGCAUGGCUAGAGUACGGUAGAGGGGGAUGGAAUUCCGCGUGUAGCAGUGAAA
rnacentral:rRNA from 1 species